rnacentral:rRNA from 1 species
GAUGAACGCUGGCGGCGUGCCUAAUACAUGCAAGUCGAGCGAACGGACGAGAAGCUUGCUUUUCUGAUGUUAGCGGCGGACGGGUGAGUAACACGUGGAUAACCUACCUAUAAGACUGGGAUAACUUCGGGAAACCGGAGCUAAUACCGUAUAAUAUUUUGAACCGCAUGGUUCAAAAGUGAAAGACGAUCUUGCUGUCACUUAUAGAUGGAUCCGCGCUGCAUUAGCUAGUUGGUAAGGUAACGGCUUACCAAGGCAACGAUGCAUAGCCGACCUGAGAGGGUGAUCGGCCACACUGGAACUGAGACACGGUCCAGACUCCUACGGGAGGCAGCAGUAGGGAAUCUUCCGCAAUGGGCGAAAGCCUGACGGAGCAACGCCGCGUGAGUGAUGAAGGUCUUCGGAUCGUAAAACUCUGUUAUUAGGGAAGAACAUAUGUGUAAGUAACUGUGCACAUCUUGACGGUACCUAAUCAGAAAGCCACGGCUAACUACGUG